rnacentral:rRNA from 1 species
UACGUAGGCAGCAAGCGUUGUCCGGAUUUAUUGGGCGUAAAGAGCGUGUAGGCGGCCAAGCAGGUCCGCUGUGAAAACUCGAGGCUCAACCUCGAGACGUCGGUGGAAACCGUUUGGCUAGAGUCCGGAAGAGGAGAGUGGAAUUCCCGGUGUAGCGGUGAAAUGCGCAGAUAUCGGGAAGAACACCCGUGGCGAAGGCGGCUCUCUGGGACGGUACUGACGCUGAGACGCGAAAGCGUGGGGAGCGAACAGG